GAUGAACGCUGGCGGUGUGCCUAACACAUGCAAGUCGAGCGAACAGACGAGGAGCUCGCGCCCCUGACGUUAGCGGCUGACGGGCGGGUAACACGUGCAUAACCAACUUCUUAGUCUGGGAUAAUUACGGGAAACCGGUGCCAAUAAUGGAGAAUAUAACGUACCGGUGGAAGCAGGAGAUAUUGACGGUUUGGCUGUUUGUAAGAGAUGAUUCCGGGCCGCAUUAGCUAGUUGGUAAGGUAACGGCCUACCAAGGCGACGAUGCGUAGCUGACCUGAGAGGGUGAUCGGCCACACUGGAACUGAGACACGGUCCAGACUCCUACGGGAGGCAGCAGUGGGGAAUAUUCGACAAUGGGCGAAAGCCUGACGGAGCCAUACCGCGUGAGUGAAGAAGGUCUUCGGGUCGUAAAGCUCUGUUAUUGGGAAAGAACAGAAGUGUGAGAAACUCUGCACGUCUUGACGGUACCUAAUGAAUAAGCCCCGGCUAACUACGUG
rnacentral:rRNA from 1 species